UGUGAACAUACCACUUGUUGCCUCGGCGGAUCAGCCCGCUCCCGGUAAAACGGGACGGCCCGCCAGAGGACCCCUAAACUCUGUUUCUAUAUGUAACUUCUGAGUAAAACCAUAAAUAAAUCAAAACUUUCAACAACGGAUCUCUUGGUUCUGGCAUCGAUGAAGAACGCAGCAAAAUGCGAUAAGUAAUGUGAAUUGCAGAAUUCAGUGAAUCAUCGAAUCUUUGAACGCACAUUGCGCCCGCCAGUAUUCUGGCGGGCAUGCCUGUUCGAGCGUCAUUUCAACCCUCAAGCACAGCUUGGUGUUGGGACUCGCGUUAAUUCGCGUUCCUCAAAUUGAUUGGCGGUCACGUCGAGCUUCCAUAGCGUAGUAGUAAAACCCUCGUUACUGGUAAUCGUCGCGGCCACGCCGUUAAACCCCAACUUCUGAAUGUUGACCUCGGAUCAGGUAGGAAUACCCGCUGAACUUAAGCAUAUCAAUAAGCGGA
rnacentral:rRNA from 1 species